AGGGAAUCUUCCGCAAUGGGCGAAAGCCUGACGGAGCAACGCCGCGUGAGUGAUGAAGGUCUUCGGAUCGUAAAACUCUGUUAUUAGGGAAGAACAAACGUGUAAGUAACUGUGCACGUCUUGACGGUACCUAAUCAGAAAGCCACGGCUAACUACGUGCCAGCAGCCGCGGUAAUACGUAGGUGGCAAGCGUUAUCCGGAAUUAUUGGGCGUAAAGCGCGCGUAGGCGGUUUUUAAGUCUGAUGUGAAAGCCCACGGCUCAACCGUGGAGGGUCAUUGGAAACUGGAAAACUUGAGUGCAGAAGAGGAAAGUGGAAUUCCAUGUGUAGCGGUGAAAUGCGCAGAGAUAUGGAGGAACACCAGUGGCGAAGGCGACUUUCUGGUCUGUAACUGACGCUGAUGUGCGAAAGCGUGGGGAUCAAACAGGAUUAGAUACCCUGGUAGUCCACGCCGUAAACGAUGAGUGCUAAGUGUUAGGGGGUUUCCGCCCCUUAGUGCUGCAGCUAACGCAUUAAGCACUCCGCCUGGGGAGUACGACCGCAAGGUUG
rnacentral:rRNA from 1 species